GGAUGUGAGGGUGAUCUGGCUGUGACAUCUGUCACCCCAUUGAUCGCCAGGGUUGAUUCGGCUGAUCUGGCUGGCUAGGCGGGUGUCCCCUUCCUCCCUCACCGCUCCACGUGCGUCUCUCCCGAAGCUGUGCACUUGGUCGAAGAGGACGACCAUCCCCGCUAGAGGAGGACCGGUCUUCCGUCAAGGGUAAACGAGUAGCUGUGCUCCCCUGCUAGAACCUCCAAACAAGCUCUCAAAAGUGCCCUCUCACCAACUUCUUGCUAGCACUGAAUAUUAUUAUUUUAAACAUUGUUGUUUUUGUAAUUCAGCUGAUAACUGGUAGCUUGCAGUUUCAG
ensembl:misc_RNA 7SK 7SK RNA